UGACCUCAGAUCAGGCAAGGCAACCCGCUGAAUUUAAGCAUAUUAAUAAGCGGAGGAAAAGAAACUAACAAGGAUUCCCCUAGUAAUGGCGAAUGAAGCGGGAACAGCUCAAAUUGAAAAUCUCCGUUGCUUGCAACGGCGAAUUG
rnacentral:ncRNA from 1 species